rnacentral:rRNA from 1 species
AUUGAACGCUGGCGGCAGGCCUAACACAUGCAAGUCGAGCGAGCGGCGGACGGUUGAGUACUGUCUGGGAAACUGCCUGAUGGCGGGGGAUAACUACUGGAAACGGUAUCUAAUACCGCAUACCAUCAGCUUUGCCCAGAUGGGAUUAGCUAGUGGGGGGGGUAAUGGCCCACCUAGGCGACGAUCCCUAGCUGGUCUGAGAGGAUGACCAGCCACACUGGAACUGAGACACGGUCCAGACUCCUACGGGAGGCAGCAGUGGGGAAUAUUGCACAAUGGACACAAGCCUGAUGCAGCCAUGCCGCGUGUGUGAAGAAGGUCUUCGGGUUGUAAAGCACUUUCAGCGGGGAGGCGUUAUCCGCAGAAGAAGCACCGGCUAACUCCGUGCCAGCAGCCGCGGUAAUUC